AGGGUGUAAACGCUGCAGACUUGGUGUUGGAAGCCCUUUGGGGGCAUUCAGUGCCGGAGAGAAGUUGUUAAGUCUGCUACUUGGGGAGUACGUCCGCAAGGAUGAAACUUAAAGGAAUUGGCGGGGGGAGCACCGCAACGGGAGGAGCGUGCGGUUUAAUUGGAUUCAACACCGUAAAACUCACCAGGGAAGACUGUUACAUGAAGGCCGAGAUGAAGACUCUGCUAGAUUUUCAGAGAGGAGGUGCAUGGCCGUCAGUGACU
rnacentral:rRNA from 1 species